CUUUUGUAUCCCUAGUGCCCACCACAGGGCCUGGCAUGUGGUAGGUCCUAAAUAGAGACUUGUUCGUUGAUUGCUUGGCCUUGUGCCAUUUAAUGUUUAAUCCUUACUUUGAGGAAGGCAUUGGUGGUCUUCUGAUCCAGUUCUCAGGUGAGAAGAAGCCGAUUUGUGGCCCUGAGCUCUGUGUCCUGGAAUCCUCCCUGUCCACUGGCCUGAAGGUGUAACUUCUGUCUGUUGCUCUGUCUCUGACCCUGGGUGGAGCGGGCUCCUCCUUUGCUCCACUGUCCCCUCUCUCAGUAACAAGGUUGGGAGUCAUGCCUAGAGUGGGGCAGAGUGGAAGGGGGUGGGGGAGGAUCUUCCUAGCUUGUUGAAUCUGGGAGUGCUGGGACCCUCUUCAUGGUUCCUUUUUCUUUCCUAGCUUUGCUUUCCGAGGACGCUGCGCUUUCCCACAAGUGGAACAGAGAGAGGAAGGACUAGCUCCUGGGCUCCGUCUUCCAGGUUCAAGCGAGGCCUUCUCAAGAGCCUGCCCGUCGUCAGGACAGAAGCACAGAGAAAUGAUGACGUCUGGGCUUCUGACAGCCAGGCCCCAGGUGAGCUUAGGUGUCCUUUCCCUUCCUUUGGAUAGGCUGGGCUCAUCCGGGGUCUGUGCACUCAGGGCUGGGAGUUCGCAGAGUCCCGGGAAGGAGCUCUAAGGGAAUAGUCCCUGCUGCAUGCCCGGCUGGAGGGCCCCCUGCCGAGAGGGAAUCCAGGCUGUCUUGAGAGCGUCUGGUGAGGAGGGGCAGUUCCUCCACGCCAUCCCGCGCCCCUUUGGAUGGCCUUAGUCUUUCCUUAGGCUCAGCUGACCCAGUCUUCUCUGUGAGUCCACUCACUGCUCUGACCUCUCCCGUCUGGGGACAAGCAGACGCAGAAGUUUAAUCUGUCUCCUAUGUAUUCAGAUGUCAGAUACUUGGAAAGAACUUUUCUGUCUUCCCCCAAAUAAGCUCUAGGC
rnacentral:lncRNA from 1 species